CUUAUUGUUCUUACUGUAAAAAAACCUUUUCUUUGCCUUAGAUGAAAUCUCCUUUCUUCCAGCCUAAAUGUGUGACCUCGUGUCCUAUGUAUAACCCUGUUUAUGAAUAGAUUUCCAGAUAAAGGUUUGUACUGGCCCCGAAUAUAUUUGUAUAAAGUUAUCAUAUCCCCUCUCAGGCGCCGUUUUUCCAAACUAAACAGAUUUAAUUUUUUAACCUUUCUUCAUAACUAAAAUGCUC
rnacentral:lncRNA from 1 species